UGGCGAACGGGUGAGUAACACGUGGGUGAUCUGCCCUGCACUUUGGGAUAAGCCUGGGAAACUGGGUAUAAUACCGGAUAGGAGCCAUUUUUAGUGUGAUGGUUGGAAAGUUUUUUCGGUGUAGGAUGAGCUCGCGGCCUAUCAGCUUGUUGGUGGGGUAAUGGCCUACCAAGGCGGCGACGGGUAGCCGGCCUGAGAGGGUGGACGGCCACAUUGGGACUGAGAUACGGCCCAG
rnacentral:rRNA from 1 species